CAAAUUAGCCAGUAAAAAAUGAGAAAUCUUGAUGAUUGUCAAAGUAACAAUGAUCAUGAGUACUCGUCCAUAGUGAAUCUGGGCAAUAAUUAUAAUCCCAUGUCGUUGAUGCCAUAACUGGUAAAUGAUUCCUAGUUUCGAUUUCUUCAGUUGAUUCGACUUCUUUCCAGAUUUCAUCCAUGGAAUAGACCAUCAUGUUCUGAUCUCCUUCAUAUAUUUUAUUUUCUCCAGCAACUUGCAACAACUCGACGCAAUCAUUUCUUUCAGUACUGGAGUCCUCAGCAGGACUGUUGGCAGAGGAAGAGGAGCAAUUGGAGAAAUUGGAUGAAGAUGGAGAAAUUGAAGCCUUAU
rnacentral:lncRNA from 1 species